UCUUGUCUGUCACAUAAGUGGCGCAACUGAAUACUACCCGGACAAUGAAUCGAAUGCAACCACAUUUUCGCGGGAAUUUCAGUUUGUUACGGAUUCUGAUGCUGAAUACAUAAUGAUCAAAUAAUUUAAAGUCAGAGUGUAUUACAAUGUUUCUUAGUCCACCAAAGCAAGGUGAACAACCUGGAAAGAAGAAGAGAAAGACUGAGCUGCAGCUGAAACCGGCCUCUUCCGAGGGACUAAACUCAAGUAUGUCAACGAAGGGCAGAUUCUCUUUCUCCGGAAGAAAGUCAUAGAUGUGCUCAUCAAGCACCUGGAGAAAAGAUUCCAAGAUCUCCAGAAAGGGAGUGUCCCUUCAAAAUGUUCCAUCUUCAACCCCAGUCAGUGGCCCUUUGACAGACAGGAGCUGGCUGCCUAUGGCAAACAAGACUUUGCUGAUAUCUG